AACCUGGUUGAUCUUGCCAGUAGUCAUAUGCUUGUCUCAAAGAUUAAGCCAUGCAAGUGAAAGUAUAUGCAUAUUUUAUAUGUAGAAACUGCGAACGGCUCAUUAAAACAGUUAUAAUCUACUUGAAAUUUCUACCUUACAAGGAUAACUACGGAAAAGCUGUAGCUAAUACUUGCUUUAAUGCGUUUGAAUCCUUUUGGAUUCCCGCGUAUGUACUUGUUAAGCCUUUAAGAAAGAAGUUUAUAACUUAAGGAAUUAUAACAAAGAAGUAACACAUAAUAAGGUUGCCUUAU
rnacentral:rRNA from 1 species